GAUGAACGCUGGCGGCGUGCUUAACACAUGCAAGUCGAACGGUGAAGCUCCAGCUUGCUGGAGUGGAUCAGUGGCGAACGGGUGAGUAACACGUGAGCAACCUGCCCCUGACUCUGGGAUAACAGCCGGAAACGGCUGCUAAUACCGUAUAUGCACCAUGAACGCAUGUUCUGUGGUGGGAAAGAUUUUUCGGUUGGGGAUGGGCUCGCGGCCUAUCAGCUUGUUGGUGAGGUAAUGGCUCACCAAGGCGUCGACGGAUAGCCGGCCUGAGAAGGGGAACGGCCACACUGGUACUGAGACACGGACCAGACGCCAACAGGAGGCAACGGGGGGGAAUAUUGCACAGUGGGCGAACGCGUGAUGCAGAAGCGCCGCGUGAGGGAUGACGGCCUUCGGGUUGUAAACCUCAUUUAGCAGGGAAGAAGCGAGAGUGACGGUACCUACAGAAAAAGCGCCGGCUAACUACGUG
rnacentral:rRNA from 1 species